rnacentral:tRNA from 1 species
GCCUGUGUGGCUCAGUCAGUUAAGCGUCUGACUUCAGCUCAGGUCAUGAUCUUGCAGUGAUGUGGGUUCAAACCCUGCAUCCGGCU